AUGAGCUCCUGGAAGGCUUUGGCCAGAGCAAUCCUGCACACCUUGGAGAGGCUGUUUAUGCCGGACGAUGUUACUCGCAUGGCCAGUGUGCAGCUGUGGGUGCUGCUGACGACGGUGCUACUGCUGUUGAGGUUCAUCGCCGACUUCAGGGGGCCAUGGUUUGCCAAGCCGGACAGGAUGUUUAUCGUCCUCACGUUGGAGGUAAUGAGCCAGAACUUGGUGAUCUACACCAUAGGAUUGAUGCAGCUAUCAGGCGCAAGGGUGAACGACUACUUCCAGGUGUGGGCGGUUCUGCUCGUCACCUUGCAGUACAGCGUCAAGAUCGGGCGCCCCUACACCCGGUCCAAGCAAGUCCCAUUGCUGGACCUCAUGUCCUCCUUCUGGUCAGCCAAUCUCCUCCGGGUGCAGACCUUCUACCUCCUCAGGAUCCCCCUCUGGUUGAUCUGGUCGCUUAAUGCAGUUCGCAUCGUCGUGCUCUUCGUCACCUCAAGUAAAGGGGAGACUGAAAACCAAGAGAGCAUGAGGCUGGUGAGCGACUAUAUGAGCUAUGAGGACGAUCUCCCUGCUGCAGCUGGUGAUGAGCCGGAGGAAUCAGAAAUGACAGGGUGCAAGUACCUUGUGCAUGGGGAACACCGGGUGCUCAAGGAAGUACAAGAGGGCCGGCGGGAGGGGAAAGGAAGACUAUCUUCUUGCUUCAGAAGGGAAAGAAUAAUAAUCGAGUCCGACAGGAGCUACAAGGUUCAGUUGGAUCCAGAUGGCGUCCACAGGGAUCAGCUGGUCACCGUGGAGAAGAUAUGGCGUGACACCAGCAAGAGCAGGUUGUUGGGAGGCGCACGCACAGCAGACCCUGGCAACCAGCGCAAGGACCUGUGCCUCUCGUUCGCGCUGUACAAGCUGCUCCGCCGCCGGUUCUAUGAUCUCCCAGUGCAUGAACUCACCAGGCCGCAGGGGAAGAGGAAGAUCCGCAAGCUCGUCUUCGACUACAUCCUCAAGGACGUCGAGAGGGCGUUCCGCAUCACAGAUGUGGAGCUGUCCUUUCUCCGGGACCUCUUCUACAGCAAGCACGCCACCGUGUUCGCCGGCGGGCUCAUGGUUCCAUUCCAGAGCCUCCUGUUGUCGCUGUCCCUGGCCGCUGCGACGGGGUACAUUUCGUAUCCUGCCCGAUACAUACCCGAGAGGAUGGAUCCAGCAGACCGCAACAGGAUCAUACACGGCGUGUUCAUCACACGCCUCAUGGUCGGCAUCAUCGUCCUCAAGGAGCUCCUUGAGAUUUUUCUCUAUGUGCGGUCACGGUGGGCCAAGGUUUUGCUGUUGUGCAAGUACGUCCAGCAUCAGUGCUUGCGGCGUCCGGUGGUGGAGAUGGCCAUGAAGUUCAUGCUGUCUUUGGGCAGCAAAGACAAAUCAAGUCAGAGGAUACAUCAGCAGAACCUUCUGGUUACGUUCGGUGUGCUGCCUCUGCUCAAAUGCAGGACGCUACUCAAACGAGGGCAAGCUACUGGAAAAACCGUCCUGAAAGAUUACACCAAGAUUGCAAUAUUAGAUUCGCUCAAGAAGUUGGAAAAGGAAGGACUGGCGCUGGAUAACUACUUCUCAAACACCUUCAACUCAAGUGAGAGGGUGGUGAAGUGGCCAAGAAACCUCAAGGUAGACACCCACAUCAUACUGGUCUGGCAUAUCGCCACCAGCCUCUGUGAGAUCAACUUCUUCAACACGGUCAAGGAGCUCAAGGCUGUGCAGCAACCGCGGCCUUUUGUGGACGAUCCAAAUGGAAUUCGCAAUAAACGGAAAAACUAUGAAUCUGUGUGGUCUGACCAGUACGCAACUGCAGCCACCUUGUCCAACUAUUGUACCUAUCUGGUCAGGAAGGCACUGGUGCCGGAUAACCCCAUGGUUGCCGGGAUGGUCCUUGACGAGGUAAUCAAAGAAAUUAACAAGGUUACUUCUCAGUUCAGUAAAACUGGGCUUAGUAAGAAGAGCAGACCAAUGAAACUGGGAGAUGUGUAUAAUAGCCUUAUGAGGACAGUUCACAAGCGUUGCAAGAACACUGAUCACUCUAGGAGAUGGGGCUGGGGCCCAGACGAGGAACCAGUAAAACCAGAGGAAGGCGAUCAUGUGGAAGAAGAGGAAGACGAUGAAGACCUCCACAUUGCGUGUUCCUUAACAAGGAUGGGUGCAAUGCUUGGGAAGCACUUGAUAAAGGUGUAUGAAGGCCACGCGGCAGACCUGUGGAGGGACCUGGCCAACUUCUGGACGGGGUUCCUCCUCCACUUGGCCGUGAACACCAGGGCAGCCACGCACCGGAGGCAUCUCGCCGGUAACAGUGAGCUCAUCACACAACUCUGGGUACUGCUCUCGCACGCCGGCUUUCGUGGGAACGCCAUCCACCGCGAGCAGGGCCCAGACCAGGACGACGUGCCUGAUAUCAACCAGGUAGUCAAUUAA
rnacentral:rRNA from 1 species